rnacentral:rRNA from 1 species
AUGAACGCUAGCUACAGGCUUAACACAUGCAAGUCGAGGGGCAGCAUGGUCUUAGCUUGCUAAGGCCGAUGGCGACCGGCGCACGGGUGAGUAACACGUAUCCAACCUGCCGUCUACUCUUGGACAGCCUUCUGAAAGGAAGAUUAAUACAAGAUGGCAUCAUGAGUCCGCAUGUUCACAUGAUUAAAGGUAUUCCGGUAGACGAUGGGGAUGCGUUCCAUUAGAUAGUAGGCGGGGUAACGGCCCACCUAGUCUUCGAUGGAUAGGGGUUCUGAGAGGAAGGUCCCCCACAUUGGAACUGAGACACGGUCCAAACUCCUACGGGAGGCAGCAGUGAGGAAUAUUGGUCAAUGGGCGAGAGCCUGAACCAGCCAAGUAGCGUGAAGGAUGACUGCCCUAUGGGUUGUAAACUUCUUUUAUAAAGGAAUAAAGUCGGGUAUGGAUACCCGUUUGCAUGUACUUUAUGAAUAAGGAUCGGCUAACUCCGUGCCAGCAGCCGCGGUAAUACGGAGGAUCCGAGCGUUAUCCGGAUUUAUUGGGUUUAAAGGGAGCGUAGAUGGAUGUUUAAGUCAGUUGUGAAAGUUUGCGGCUCAACCGUAAAAUUGCAGUUGAUACUGGAUAUCUUGAGUGCAGUUGAGGCAGGCGGAAUUCGUGGUGUAGCGGUGAAAUGCUUAGAUAUCACGAAGAACUCCGAUUGCGAAGGCAGCCUGCUAAGCUGCAACUGACAUUGAGGCUCGAAAGUGUGGGUAUCAAACAGGAUUAGAUACCCUGGUAGUCCACACAGUAAACGAUGAAUACUCGCUGUUUGCGAUAUACAGCAAGCGGCCAAGCGAAAGCGUUAAGUAUUCCACCUGGGGAGUACGCCGGCAACGGUGAAACUCAAAGGAAUUGACGGGGGCCCGCACAAGCGGAGGAACAUGUGGUUUAAUUCGAUGAUACGCGAGGAACCUUACCCGGGCUUAAAUUGCAAAUGAAUUAUGGGGAAACCCAUACGCCGCAAGGCAUUUGUGAAGGUGCUGCAUGGUUGUCGUCAGCUCGUGCCGUGAGGUGUCGGCUUAAGUGCCAUAACGAGCGCAACCCUUGUUGUCAGUUACUAACAGGUUCCGCUGAGGACUCUGACAAGACUGCCAUCGUAAGAUGUGAGGAAGGUGGGGAUGACGUCAAAUCAGCACGGCCCUUACGUCCGGGGCUACACACGUGUUACAAUGGGGGGUACAGAGGGCCGCUACCACGCGAGUGGAUGCCAAUCCCCAAAACCUCUCUCAGUUCGGACUGGAGUCUGCAACCCGACUCCACGAAGCUGGAUUCGCUAGUAAUCGCGCAUCAGCCACGGCGCGGUGAAUACGUUCCCGGGCCUUGUACACACCGCCCGUCAAGCCAUGGGAGCCGGGGGUACCUGAAGUGCGUAACCGCGAGGAGCGCCCUAGGGUAAAACUGGUGACUGGGGCU